rnacentral:rRNA from 1 species
ACGUACACUCCUGCGGGAGGCAGCAGUGGGGAAUUUUGGACAAUGGGCGAAAGCCUGAUCCAGCCAUGCCGCGUGCAGGAUGAAGGCCUUCGGGUUGUAAACUGCUUUUGUACGGAACGAAACGGCCUUUUCUAAUAAAGAGGGCUAAUGACGGUACCGUAAGAAUAAGCACCGGCUAACUACGUGCCAGCAGCCGCGGUAAUACGUAGGGUGCAAGCGUUAAUCGGAAUUACUGGGCGUAAAGCGUGCGCAGGCGGUUAUGUAAGACAGUUGUGAAAUCCCCGGGCUCAACCUGGGAACUGCAUCUGUGACUGCAUAGCUAGAGUACGGUAGAGGGGGAUGGAAUUCCGCGUGUAGCAGUGAAAUGCGUAGAUAUGCGGAGGAACACCGAUGGCGAAGGCAAUCCCCUGGACCUGUACUGACGCUCAUGCACGAAAGCGUGGGGAGCAAACAGGAUUAGAUACCCGAGUAGUCCCAUGA